AACGCACAUUGCGCCCCUCGGUAUUCCGUGGGGCAUGCCUGUUCGAGCGUCAUUUACACCCUCAAGCUCUGCUUGGUGUUGGGCGCCUGUCCCGCUCCCGCAGCGCGGACUCGCCCUAAAGUCAUUGGCGGCGGUCGUGCCGGCCCCUCGCGCAGCACAAAUGCGCUUCUCGGAGGCCCGGCGGAUCAGCGCUCCAGCAAGACACCUUCAUGACUUGACCUCGGAUCAGGUAGGGAUACCCGCUGAACUUAA
rnacentral:misc_RNA from 1 species